rnacentral:rRNA from 1 species
UGAGGAAUAUUGGGCAAUGCCCGAAAGGGUGACCCAGCAACGCCGCGUGGAGGAUGAAGGUCGUAAGAUUGUAAACUCCUGUUAGAGGGGAAGAAUAACUAAGUUUGGAGCUUAGUAUGACUGUACCCUCAGAGAAAGCCCCGGCUAACUACGUGCCAGCAGCCGCGGUAAUACGUAGGGGGCAAGCGUUGUCCGGAUUUACUGGGUGUAAAGGGCGCGCAGGCGGAAUGGAAAGUCAGUGGUGAAAUCCUACAGCUUAACUGUAGAACUGCCUUUGAUACUUUCAUUCUUGAGUUCGGGAGAGAGAGACGGAAUUCCAGGUGUAGUGGUGAAAUACGUAGAUAUCUGGAAGAACACCAGCUGCGAAGGCGGUCUCUUGGUCCGAUACUGACGCUGAGGCGCGAAAGCGUGGGGAGCAAACA